rnacentral:rRNA from 1 species
GAUGAACGCUGGCGGCGUGCCUAAUACAUGCAAGUCGAGCGAACAGAUGAGGAGCUUGCUCCUCUGACGUUAGCGGCGGACGGGUGAGUAACACGUGGAUAACCUACCUAUAUGACUGGGAUAACUACGGGAAACCGGAGCUAAUACCGGAUAAUAUAUUGAACCGCAUGGUUCAAUAGUGAAAGACGGUUUUGCUGUCACUUAUAGAUGGAUCCGCGCCGCAUUAGCUAGUUGGUAAGGUAACGGCUUACCAAGGCAACGAUGCGUAGCCGACCUGAGAGGGUGAUCGGCCACACUGGAACUGAGACACGGUCCAGACUCCUACGGGAGGCAGCAGUAGGGAAUCUUCCGCAAUGGGCGAAAGCCUGACGGAGCAACGCCGCGUGAGUGAUGAAGGUCUUCGGAUCGUAAAACUCUGUUAUUAGGGAAGAACAAAUGUGUAAGUAACUAUGCACGUCUUGACGGUACCUAAUCAGAAAGCCACGGCUAACUACGUG